AUCUAGCUGACGAGUCUCAAAUAGGACGAAACACCCAUCUUGUAU
rnacentral:hammerhead_ribozyme from 1 species